rnacentral:lncRNA from 1 species
CCAUGUGGGUUUAACGGCCACUUAGCUUUUUUGACAUGUGGUGCAUCAAGCCACAAACCGCUCCACAUCUCGUCUCAUCUUAGGCCAAAAGAAAUAUGUGGACAACACCUCCUCUAUCUUCUUGGUAUCAAAAUAUCCCAUCAAUUGCUUCCUGCAAAAAAAAGAUGAACGAAACCAACUAGAAUGCACAGGCGGUUAGCUCUAAACAAAAAACCCUCAUGCAGCACAU